rnacentral:rRNA from 1 species
CCUACGGGAGGCAGCAGUGAGGAAUAUUGGUCAAUGGCCGGGAGGCUGAACCAGCCAAGUCGCGUGAGGGAAUAAGGCACUAUGUGUCGUCAACCUCUUUUGUCAGGGAGCAAAGGCGUCCACGAGUGGCCGAAAGGAGAUUCCCUGAAGAAACAGCAUCGGCUAACUCCGUGCCAGCAGCCGCGUUAAUCCGGAGGAUGCGAGCGUGAUCCGGAUUUAUUGGGUUUAAAGGGUGCGUAGGCGGCGUGUCAGGUCAGCGGUAAAAUUUCGGGGCUCAACCCCGGCGUGCCGUUGAAACUGGCACCCUUGAGUUGGAGAGAAGUAAGCGGAAUGCGGGGUGUAGCGGUGAAAUGCAUAGAUAUCACGCAGAACGCCGAUUGCGAAGGCAGCAUACCGGCGCCCAACUGACGCUGAGGCACGAAAGUGCGGGUAUCGAACAGGAUUAGAUACCCGAGUAGUC